GGUCUGCAUAACCCCGGGAAAUGGGGAUAAUUCCGGAUAACGCACAUAUGCUGGAAUGCUUUAUGCGUAAAAUGGAUUCGUCUGCCCAAGGAUGGGUCUGCGGCCUAUCAGGUAGUAGUGGGUGUAAUGUACCUACUAGCCAACAACGGGUACGGGUUGUGAGAGCAAGAGCCCGGAGAUGGAUUCUGAGACAUGAAUCCAGGCCCUACGGGGCGCAGCAGGCGCGAAAACUUUACAAUGCGGGAAACCGUGAUAAGGGGACACCGAGUGCCAGCAUCAUAUGCUGGCUGUCCAGGUGUGUAAAAUACACCUGUUAGCAAGGGCCGGGCAAGACCGGUGCCAGCCGCCGCGGUAACACCGGCGGCCCGAGUGGUGGCCGAUAUUAUUGAGUCUAAAGGGUCCGUAGCCGGUUUGGUCAGUCCUCCGGGAAAUCUGACGGCUCAACCGUUAGGCUUUCGGGGGAUACUGCCAGGCUUGGAACCGGGAGAGGUAAGAGGUACUACAGGGGUAGGAGUGAAAUCUUGUAAUCCCUGUGAGACCACCUGUGGCGAAGGCGUCUUACCAGAACGGGUUCGACGGUGAGGGACGAAAGCUGGGGGCACGAACCGGAUUAGAUACCCGGGUAGUCCCAGCCGUAAACGAUGCUCGCUAGGUGUCAGGCAUGGCGCGACCGUGUCUGGUGCCGCAGGGAAGCCGUGAAGCGAGCCACCUGGGAAGUACGGCCGCAAGGCUGAAACU
rnacentral:rRNA from 1 species